GACGAACGCUGGCGGCGUGCCUAAUACAUGCAAGUCGAACGCACGAAGUUGAAGAGCUUGCUCUUUAACCAAGUGAGUGGCGGACGGGUGAGUAACACGUGGGUAACCUGCCCAUUAGAGGGGGAUAACAUUCGGAAACGGAUGCUAAUACCGCAUAGUUUCAGGAAUCGCAUGAUUCUUGAAGGAAAGGUGGCUUCGGCUACCACUAAUGGAUGGACCCGCGGCGUAUUAGCUAGUUGGUGAGGUAACGGCUCACCAAGGCAAUGAUACGUAGCCGACCUGAGAGGGUGAUCGGCCACACUGGGACUGAGACACGGCCCAGACUCCUACGGGAGGCAGCAGUAGGGAAUCUUCCGCAAUGGACGAAAGUCUGACGGAGCAACGCCGCGUGAGUGAAGAAGGUUUUCGGAUCGUAAAACUCUGUUGUUAAAGAAGAACAAGGAUGAGAGUAACUGCUCAUCCCCUGACGGUAUUUAACCAGAAAGCCACGGCUAACUACGUGCCAGCAGCCGCGGUAAUACGUAGGUGGCAAGCGUUGUCCGGAUUUAUUGGGCGUAAAGCGAGCGCAGGCGGUUCUUUAAGUCUGAUGUGAAAGCCCCCGGCUCAACCGGGGAGGGUCAUUGGAAACUGGAGAACUUGAGUGCAGAAGAGGAGAGUGGAAUUCCACGUGUAGCGGUGAAAUGCGUAGAUAUGUGGAGGAACACCAGUGGCGAAGGCGACUCUCUGGUCUGUAACUGACGCUGAGGCUCGAAAGCGUGGGGAGCAAACAGG
rnacentral:rRNA from 1 species